rnacentral:rRNA from 1 species
UACGUAGGUGGCAAGCGUUGUCCGGAUUUACUGGGCGUAAAGAGCGCGCAGGCGGCUGUGCAAGUCCGAUGUGAAAGCUCCCGGCUUAACUGGGAAAUUGCGUCGGAAACUGCUCGGCUUGAAGGUGGGAGAGGGUAGCGGAAUUCCCGGUGUAGUGGUGAAAUGCGUAGAUAUCGGGAGGAACACCAGUGGCGAAGGCGGCUACCUGGCCCAUUCUUGACGCUGAGGCGCGAAAGCUAGGGGAGCAAACGGG